rnacentral:rRNA from 1 species
ACGAACGCUGGCGGCGUGCCUAAUACAUGCAAGUCGAACGGUCUUUCUAUGGAAGCUUGCUUCCACUGAGAAGAUAGUGGCGAACGGGUGAGUAACACGUGGGUAACCUGCCCAUAAGAGGGGGGAUAACAUCCGGAAACGGGUGCUAAUACCGCAUAGUUUUCUUGAUCGCAUGAUUGAGAAAGGAAAGACGGCCUUUGUGCUGUCGCUUAUGGAUGGACCCGCGGCGUAUUAGUUAGUUGGUGAGGUAACGGCUCACCAAGACGAUGAUACGUAGCCGACCUGAGAGGGUGAUCGGCCACAUCGGGACUGAGACACGGCCCAAACUCCUACGGGAGGCAGCAGUAGGGAAUCUUCCGCAAUGGGCGAAAGUCUGACGGAGCAACGCCGCGUGAGUGAAGAAAGGUUUUCGGAUCGUAAAACUCUGUUGUCAGAGAAGAACAAGUUGGAGAGUAACUGCUCCAGCCUUGACGGUAUCUGACCAGAAAGCCACGGCUAACUACGUGCCAGCCGCAGC